UGAGGAAUAUUGGUCAAUGGGCGGUAGCCUGAACCAGCCAAGUAGCGUGAAGGAUGAAGGUUCUAUGGAUUGUAAACUUCUUUUAUAAAGGAAUAAAGUGAGGCACGUGUGCCUUUUUUGUAUGUACUUUAUGAAUAAGGAUCGGCUAACUCCGUGCCAGCAGCCGCGGUAAUACGGAGGAUCCGAGCGUUAUCCGGAUUUAUUGGGUUUAAAGGGAGCGUAGAUGGGUUGUUAAGUCAGUUGUGAAAGUUUGCGGCUCAACCGUAAAAUUGCAAUUGAUACUGGCGUCCUUGAGUACAGUUGAGGUGGGCGGAAUUCGUGGUGUAGCGGUGAAAUGCUUAGAUAUCACGAAGAACUCCUAUUGCGAAGGCAGCUCACUAAACUGCAACUGACAUUGAGGCUCGAAAGUGUGGGUAUCAAACAGG
rnacentral:rRNA from 1 species